ACCAAACCAAUUUGUAAGUCGCUCUGGAUAAGAGCGUCUGCUAAAUGACCUAAA
rfam:Salmo salar isolate Sally breed double haploid chromosome ssa13, whole genome shotgun sequence.